rnacentral:rRNA from 1 species
UACAGAGGGGGCAAGCGUUGUUCGGAAUUACUGGGCGUAAAGGGCGCGUAGGCGGCCUGUUAAGUCGAACGUGAAAUCCCCGGGCUCAACCCGGGAACUGCGUCCGAUACUGGCAGGCUUGAAUCCGGGAGAGGGAUGUGGAAUUCCAGGUGUAGCGGUGAAAUGCGUAGAUAUCAGGAGGAACACCGGUGGCGAAGGCGCUCAUCUGGCCCAAUACUGACGCUGAGGCGCGAAAGCUAGGGGAGCAAACGGG